rnacentral:rRNA from 1 species
UGGGGAAUCUUGCACAAUGUGGGAAACCCUGAUGCAGCGACGCCGCGUGAACGAUGAAGCCCUUCGGGGUGUAAAGUUCUUUCGACAGGAACGAUAAUGACGGUACCUGGAGAAGAAGCUGCGGCUAACUACGUGCCAGCAGCCGCGGUAAUACGUAGGCAGCGAGCGUUGUUCGGAGUUACUGGGCGUAAAGAGUGCGUAGGCGGCGAGCCAAGUUUGGUGUGAAAUCUCCCGGCUUAACCGGGAGGGUGCGCCGAAAACUGGUUGGCUGGAGUAUGGGAGAGGAAAGCGGAAUUCCUGGUGUAGCGGUGAAAUGCGUAGAUAUCAGGAGGAACACCUGCGGUGUAGACAGCUUUCUGGACCAAAACUGACGCUGAGGCACGAAAGCGUGGGUAGCAAACA